GAGGAGAGGAAUGACAUGGCACAGAGAGAGGGAGAGAGAGGUCAAAGAGAGGAGAGGAAUGACAUGGCAGAGAGAGAGGGAGAGAGAGAGAGAGGAAUGACAUGGCAGAGAGAGAGGGAGAGAGAGGAGAGGAAUAACAUGGCAGAGAGAGAGAGAGAGAGGUCAACGAGAGGAGAGGAAUGACAUGGCAAGAGAGAGGGAGAGAGAGAGGUCAAAGAGAGGAGAGGAAUGACAUGGCAGAGAGAGAGAGAGGGGAGAGGGAGAGAGAGAUCAAAGAGAGGAGAGGAAUGACAUGGCAGAGAGAGGGAGAGAGAGAGAGAGAUCAACGAGAGG
ensembl:lncRNA